ACGUUCCUUCCCUUCCCAAAUCAUCCUUUUCAUGCUCCUAACCUUCUUGCCUUUCAGAGUCGUUCAUUCUCCUAAUUAAGUGUUUCAGGGUGUUAGUCGUUCCUGCCUCACCUUUCCCCCCUCUAGUGGUAUUCUUGGGGUGCCUCGGGGUCUUCACAUAUCUGGUCCUGCCGUGGGUGUGUCAGGAGGGAGGUAUUCUCUGUCUGCUACGAGGUGGUCUUGUCACCUACACAGCCAAUUAAGCCUUACCUGUCUCCUCUUCACAAGCCGCCGCCGCUGACUCCCGCACCUCACUAAGCCAGCAGACGAGUCCUGUGGAGAAGUAGGGUGGAGGGAAGAAGAACAAGGGGAAGACAGAGGAUUAGGUGGAGUGUUUAGAGAGAGACAUGAGGAAGUUGGGUUGAGAGGAACAGGAUGCAAAGACAGGAGCUACCGGCGACAACAUAGAAGAAGACGAAGGAGAUGAAGGAAAGAAAAAGAAAAAGAAGAUGAGGAGGACGUGAAAGAAGAAAAAUAGAAAAAAAAAAGAGGAAGAAAACGAAACAGAAGAUGAUGGGGAAAAAAAAGAAGAUGAAAAGGAAGGAGAAAGAAGAAGAAUAAAAAAGAAGACGAAGAAAAUGAAAAGGAAGAAAACGAAACAGAAGAUGA